UCAAAAUGGAGUCGCUCUGGUUUGAAUGC
rnacentral:piRNA from 1 species